rnacentral:rRNA from 1 species
AGCGAACGCUGGCGGCAUGCCUAACACAUGCAAGUCGAACGAGACCUUCGGGUCUAGUGUCGCACGGGUGCGUAACGCGUGGGAACCUGCCCUUAGGUUCGGAAUAACUCCCCGAAAGGGGUGCUAAUACCGGAUAAUGUCUUCGGACCAAAGAUUUAUCGCCUUUGGAUGGGCCCGCGUUGGAUUAGCUAGUUGGUAGGGUAAAAGCCUACCAAGGCGACGAUCCAUAGCUGGUCUGAGAGGAUGAUCAGCCACACUGGGACUGAGACACGGCCCAGACUCCUACGGGAGGCAGCAGUGGGGAAUAUUGGACAAUGGGCGAAAGCCUGAUCCAGCAAUGUCGCGUGAGUGAUGAAGGCCUUAGGGUUGUAAAGCUCUUUUACCCGGGAUGAUAAUGACAGUACCGGGAGAAUAAGCUCCGGCUAACUACGUG